rnacentral:lncRNA from 1 species
ACUUAUUAAAAUUUGAUUUCAAACGGUAACAAAAUUUAUGUAUAGAUUUGAUUUUCAAAAUUAAAAGAUCUAAUUUACUCAUUAUAAAAGAGGCUUACAUUGGUGCUAAAUUAUUGUAUUGUUAACUCAUUAUAAUAAGAAAGCAGCACAUAGUUCCGAGAGAUCAACAAGCCUACAAAAAGUAAGAAUCUUGAUACAACAUUCA